AAGUAACCUAUAAACCCGAUUUUCUCCAAUUUCAGUCCUCUUCGCCGGACGCUGAUUGCUUCCAAUCUUAAAUAGUAGUAGGUAGCCGGAGAUUUCUUCACCAGCAGAGUCGAAACGACGUCGGAUCGGGUCACAACCGCGUCACUGCCGAAGCUGAUUUUGCUCGAGGCAUUAGCGUUGUGCAGCGUCACUUAGCCUGCCCUAUAUCUAACUAUUUCUGCUACAUUCACAUAGCUAAAAACUUUUCACAAUCUGCAUUCAGUUGAAGACACCGUGGAAUUGUGAGAGAUUUAAGAUUCAUCUUCCUAAUCAGUGACAUAAAUAGAGCACAACACGGUCUAUGGAUUUAUGCUGGACAGAACUUGGUUGCACACUAUAUUUGCCAUACAGCUUUCUCUCACACUCUGGAUCUUGAACAAGACUUUUGGGAUUUCCUAAUUUUGGAUACAGAAGGUUUAUACAACAUGAUGAGGAAAGCAAUUGCUGAGAGUGAGACAGGUACAGCACGACAAUGUUGUACGUUUCGUUGGUGCUAGCACAAAGUUGCCACAUUUAUGCAUAGUGACAGAGUACAUGCCCAGAGGGAGCCUCUACGACUAUUUGCAUAAGAAUCAUCCCUCGUUGAAGCUUCCACAGUUGUUGAAGUUCGCAAUUGAUGUCUGCAAAGGAAUGGAAUACCUACAUUAGAAGGAUGUUAUUCACAGGGAUCUGAAAACUGCAAAUUUGCUUAUGGAUUCUUCCAGUGUGAAUUAUACAUAAGAAUUUAAAUUUUCUGCUAUGAUAGAUAGGCUUUUGGUUCCUUUUAUCUAAUGUUACGAUUUGUUGAUCUGUGCGAUAAUUUGUUUCAAGGUUGUUAAAGUGGCAGAUUUUGGAGUUACUCCGUUCCAGAACAAUGGCGGGGUUAUGAUUGCAGAAACCGGAACAUACCGAUGGAUGUCACCUGAGGCUCGCUCUAUCUGAUGAGCACUGGAUUUAACUGGAAGGUGACACCCGAAGACGUCAACGAUCGAUACUUUGAAGAAUUUAGAAGGUGGCUCAAAGAUGAACAUAUUUGGAAAGGAAAGAGACGAAGUUCAUGAGACUAGGAAGGAACAAGAUUGUAGAUGAUAAAUUUGCCAAAAACGAUCCCACCACUAUUUUGCAGACUGAGAAGCUACAUGCUCAUCUAUUUUGUUAUUAACUAAGUUUUAGAAUUUGCACUGAUGUUCAAUAUUAUUAAACGUUGAUGUUUUGAGUAAUAUAUGAGUAUUUUGGUA